rnacentral:snoRNA from 1 species
CUGUGACAUGAUGGCCUACCAUCUUUCGGGACUGACCUGGAAUGGAGAGAAGCGUCUGCUGAUCACGA